rnacentral:rRNA from 1 species
GACGAACGCUGGCGGCGUGCUUAACACAUGCAAGUCGAACGGAAAGGCCCUGCUUUUGUGGGGUGCUCGAGUGGCGAACGGGUGAGUAACACGUGAGUAACCUGCCCUUGACUUUGGGAUAACUUCAGGAAACUGGGGCUAAUACCGGAUAGGAGCUCCUGCUGCAUGGUGGGGGUUGGAAAGUUUCGGCGGUUGGGGAUGGACUCGCGGCUUAUCAGCUUGUUGGUGGGGUAGUGGCUUACCAAGGCUUUGACGGGUAGCCGGCCUGAGAGGGUGACCGGCCACAUUGGGACUGGGAUACGGCCCAGACUCCUACGGGAGGCAGCAGUGGGGAAUAUUGCACAAUGGGCGGAAGCCUGAUGCAGCAACGCCGCGUGCGGGAUAGCGGCCUUCGGGUUGUAAACCGCUUUCGCCUGUGACGAAGCGUGAGUGACGGUAAUGGGUAAAGAAGCACCGGCUAACUACGUG